rnacentral:lncRNA from 1 species
UUGGCGGCCUCUUAAGAGCUUUAGUAUAGUAUUAAAAAAUAAAACGCACAUCAAACUUGAAAGUGUAAUAACAUGAGUAACACGACGGAUGCCACAUGUGGUGCAGGAUCUGCUUAACGGCUCCGGAGCAUUCAGAGAUCACCCUCAGUUUUUGGUGGGGUUCGUGUUGCUUAGUCUUCUAUGUUGUGUCUUGUGUACUAGUAUUUGUCUGUUUGUCUUUUUUCG